CCUACGGGGGGCAGCAGUGGGGGAUAUUGGUCAAUGGGGGAAACCCUGAACCAGCAACGCCGCGUGAGGGAAGACGGCCUUCGGGUUGUAAACCUACGUGUUUAGGGAUGAAACAACUGACAGUACCUGACAAGCAAGCUACGGCUAACUACGUGCCAGCAGCCACGGUAAUACGGAGGGAGCAAGCGUUGUCCGGAAUUACUGGGGGUAAAGGGUGCGUAGGCGGGAUCACAAGUAAGGCGUUAAAUACCGGGGCUCAAAUCCGGGGCAGCGCUUGAAACUGGGUAUCUUGAGUGAAGUAGAGGCAGGCGGAAUGCCUAGUGUAGCGGUGAAAUGCGUAGAUAUUAGGCAGAACCCCGAUUGCGAAGGCAGCCUGCUGG
rnacentral:rRNA from 1 species